UUCCUAUGGGGAAGGCCCUUAUUGUUGACAUCUUCCAGACUUUGGUUCUGGACCUUGAGAAAGGAGGCUGUGGAACUAGUAAUAGCGAUGCUUUUUAGGGUAAAUGUGUGUAGGUAUUGGGGAGAAGGGAGGGAGCAGUGAUAAAAGACAUGGAGGUGGGUUGAAGCUUCUAUUUCAGUUUUUGCUGUUCAUCUAAUGGUCAAUUUGUGAGUUACCUUAUUUACAGGUUUUGUUUACAGGUUUUAAAGCUUGCUUCAGUUUUAGAAAAAAGUAUUAACUCGGGAUAAAAAUGAAUUUUUAAUGCAGCUUGUGACCUUGUAAAAAUUUUUUAACUCCAAAGAAUUUUUGUUCAGCCACUUAUAUUUUUUAAAAUUGUAUUACUGUAGUCAGAACUCAAAGGGUUCAACUAGCAGUUAUGUUAAUGACCAGUAUGUGGAGUCUGAUUUAGCUUUCCAGAAUUGACUUUUUGAGUUGUAUUGGCAAAUCAUUGUCCUAAAUGAUGAAUGUUGAAUGAUGCACUAUGUUUUUGUUUAAAUGAAAUUUCCUGAAAAUAAUUAAUUUCAGAAUUAAGGGAAAAUCGAUAUUGCUAUCAGGAGGAGUCAUAAAAAUAAUGUAUUUUAAGAACUGAAGGCAUUUCAAACAGAUAAGAGUUGUUGAUAAAGCAGAACAUGAACCUGAGAUUUGGAAGACCUGGCUUUUCUAGCUGCCACUAACCAACUCUAUGACCGUGGGAAAGUGGGCCUCAGUUCUUCUUUCUAUAACAUGAGAGCACUGGACUGCUUAAAUUCAGAACUCAGAAAGCUAGAAGGGAUCUUAAAGCCCUCUAAGAAAGAGCUUAGGGAUGUUCUCCAUUGCUGCUAUUUUUCCUCCAGAAAUAACCUGCCUUGGAAGUCAUUGGUCCCAAGGGAAUUUGACUUUCCCUAGAAAUUGGAGAAAAGGUAAUGCAAGUAGAGAGGAACAACAGUAUUUCUGCAUGAAUAGUAAAGCCACCAUCAGAUUCUGGUUUGAAUUUUGGAGCCAUAAAGAGAAUGAGUAUAUGCACUCUAAGUGUACCAGUUUCCUCACUCUCUCCUAGUAGAAGAUACAGCUCUUUUAGUGGUGCUGGGGUUCUGGGAUGUGUUUCCAUUAAUUCUAAUACUGAUGAAGAAGAUGUGGUAGAGGAAAAUAUGGUGGCAGGAGUGGAUAAAGAGGCAAAAUUGCCUGCUAAAAAGAAAAGAAAGAAGGGUUCUCGAAUUAAAGGAAAAAGACGUCGGAAAAAAUUGGUCCUUGCCAAAAAAUUUAAUAAGGAUUUGGGAUCUGGGAAGCCUGGUGCCGAUACCCCUACUUUGACAGCUUCUAGUGCCCCUGAGCCAGAUGAAGAAAGUCUUUUUGAGAGCAAUAUAGAAAAGCAGAUCUACCUACCUAGUACCAGAGCCAAGACUUCUAUUGUGUGGCAUUUCUUUCAUGUGGACCCCCAGUACACUUGGCGGGCUAUUUGUAACCUCUGUGAAAAAAGUGUCAGCAGGGGUAAGCCUGGCAGCCAUCUUGGUACUUCUACUCUUCAACGACAUCUGCAGGCAAGACAUUCACCUCACUGGACCAGGGCCAACAAAUUUGGAGUCACUAGUGGGGAGGAGGACUUUACAUUGGAUAUGUCUUUGUCUCCCUCUUCUCCUGGAAGCAAUGGAAGCUUUGAAUAUAUUCCUACUGAGUCAUUAGAUGAUAAUAGAAUGGGUAAGAAACGUGAUAAAUCCACAUCUGAGGCCCUAAGGGCAGAAAGAGGGAGAUUUCUCAUUAAAAGUAACAUUGUCAAGCAUGCCUUAAUUCCUGGAACCAGAGCCAAGACAUCUGCAGUUUGGAAUUUUUUUUACACUGAUCCUCAGCAUAUCUCAAGAGCUGUGUGCAAUAUAUGUAAAAGAAGUGUGAGCCGGGGUAGACCGGGUUCCCACUUAGGAACUUCAACACUUCAACGACACCUGCAGGCCACACAUCCCAUCCACUGGGCUGUUGCCAACAAAGACAAUGGUGCUAUUGGAAAUGGAUUAGAUGACACUGAGAGUGAGAGCAAUGAGCUCUUGAAUGACACUUUGAAUGGAGAAAAGUCUACAGGCAGCCAAGAUUUAAUAGCUGAGGACCUCAGUGACUCUGAAUCAGAUGAACCUCCUGCUUUAGAUGUUGAAAAUAGAUCUGAGAGUCCUAUUCCUGUUGUAGAGCAAGAUAAUGUGAUGCAUACAGAAGAAAGGGAAACAACAUGUGAAAAUUCAACCUCAAGUCAAAUAAGUCAGGCAAUUAUUCAAAUGAUUGUAGAGGAUAUGCAUCCUUAUAACUACUUUUCAACUCCAGCUUUUCAAAGGUUCCUACAGAUUGUGGCUCCAGACUACAGGUUGCCAUCAGAGACUUAUUUUUUCACUAAAGCUGUGCCUCAGUUAUAUGACGCUGUCAGAGAAAAAAUUUUCUUAACCUUGGAGAAUGUUCAAAGUCAAAAGAUCCAUCUCACCGUUGACAUAUGGACCCAUGACCCAUCUACUGACUAUUUUAUUGUCACUGUACACUGGGUCUCUUUAGAAGCUUCAUCUUCUCUCAGUAACAGUGGCAUCCCUGAUUUUAGAAAGUGGGCAGUGCUCUGUGUCACAGGUUUGGCCAAAGACUGUCUGGUAACCAACAUUUUACAAGAACUAAAUGACCAGAUUGGUCUGUGGCUUUCUCCUAAUUUUCUUAUCCCUAGCUUCAUUGUUUCUGACAAUUCUUCUAAUGUGGUACAUGCAAUCAAAGAUGGUGGUUUUACUCAUGUGCCAUGCUUCCUGCAUUGUUUAAAUAUAGUCAUUCAGGACUUUUUCUGUGAGCACAAAAGCAUUGAGAAUAUGUUAGUGGCUGCUAGGAAAACUUGUCAUCAUUUUAGUCAUUCUGUCAAGGCCCGUCAGAUACUGCAAGAGUUUCAAAAUGAUCAGCAGCUUCCAUGGAAGAAUUUGAAGCAGGAUGAAACUGGUCACUGGAUUUCCACUUUUUAUAUGUUAAGAUGGCUCUUGGAGCAUUGCUACUCAGUUCAUCACAGUCUUGGUAGAGCUAGUGGAGUUGUUCUCACUUCCCUUCAGUGGACUCUAAUGACAUAUGUUUGUGAUAUUCUUAAGCCAUUUGAAGAGGCUGCCCAGAAAGUGAGUGUAAAGACCACAGGAUUGAAUCAGGUGUUGCCCCUAAUCCACCAUCUACUCCUCUCUCUGCAGAAACUCAGAGAAGAUUUUCAAGUCAGAGGUAUUGCUCAGGCCCUCAGUCUGGUGGACAGUUUAUCUUUGAAACUGGAAACAGAUACCCUACUUAGUGCCAUGCUCAAAUCCAAGCCCUGUAUCUUGGCUACUUUGUUAGAUCCUUGUUUUAAAAACAGUUUUGAAGACUUUUUUCCUCAAGGUGCUGAUUUUGAAACAUACAAACAGAUUCUUGCAGAAGAGGUUUGCAGUUAUAUGGAAUCUUCACCAGAGGCAUGCCAAAUUGCAACUUCAGAAGCAUCUGGUCCAUUAGUUACAGUAGGAGCUGAUUCAUUUACCUCAUCCUUAAAAGAAGGCACCUCCAGUUCAGGUUCCAUGGAUAGCUCAGCUGCAGACAGUGUUACCAUUGGAAGCAAAGGCUUCAUGUUCCCUUCUGCUAAAGCAGUAGUGGAUGAGUACUUCAAAGAGAAGUAUUCAGAGCUCUCAGGAGGUGAUGACCCUUUGGUUUACUGGCAGAGGAAGGUGAGCAUAUGGCCGGCUUUGGCCCAAGUUGCCAUUCACUAUCUAAGUUGCCCUAUGUGUAGUUGGCAGUCUGAAUGUAUGUUUACUACAAAUAGCCACUUUCAUCCAAAGCAGAUCAUGAGUAUGGACUUUGACAAUAUAGAACAGCUAAUAUUUCUGAAAAUGAACUUGAAAAAUGUUAGCUAUGAUUACUCUACAUUGAUUCUGAGCUGCUAUCCAGAGAAUAAGGUUGCUCAAAGCAAUGAAAAAGAAAUAGUACAUUAAUUUCUUUUUCCUUUCUCUAUUUAAAAUGAGCAAUAUUACUAUAUCCUUUAUUACUAUAGUUCCAAUGUAUAGGUAUACUAAUUAUUUAAAAAUACAGCUGGACAUGGUGACACAUGUCUAUAGUCCCAGCUGCUUGGGAAGCAUAGGCAGGAGGAUUACUUGAGCCCAUGAAUUCGAGACCAGCCUGGGCAACAUAGCGAUACCCCAUUAAAAGUAAAAUAAAAAACACAAAAGCUGGGGAAGCCUGAAAAUUCCUCAGAGACAGUAUAGUGUUGAGCAAAUGAAGGUUAACUUUAAAUUUUUUUCAGUUUUAACUCAAUGUAGGUAAUACUCACAGUUGAAAGAAAAAUAUUUUUUUAUUAAAAAAAUAUAGUGCAGCAUUGAAAGCUUUGUUUCUGGCUCGGUAUAGAUUGAAUUAGUUUGAAAUAAAACCACCCCAACCUGGGAAGGUUGAUUACUAGAAUCAGUGAAUCGAAACCCUCCUAAGCUGCUGUUCCUCCCCAUCCUCGUUUUACUAGCGCUUUGAGAACCAUGAUGUUUACUUACAAAUUUGCAAGAAGAAACCCAUGAAAUUGUUUUAUAUUUGGAAAUUUCGAAUUACCUCCUCAUACUGGUCAGCUUUAUAAUACCAAAUUGCUGGGUGUGAUAGAAUUACCCUUUGUAUUUAGGAUUAGGUUUGUAUAAAAAGGAAAUAAGAAAAAAAUUAGGAAAAAAAUUUAGUCUUUGAAUUGCCUUUUCCAACCUUUAUAAUAUAGAAUAACAAAGAUAGCGUAGGUGCUCUUUGUAUAGUUUUAUGGCUAAUAAUGCAGUAAAACAUUUGUACAACUGAAAAAGAUUCAGUGAGAUUUGAAAUGUAAGCCCUAUGAGCAUACUUUGACAAACCCAGUAUGAAUUCCCAAAGGUUUAGUUUAGGUGUCUUUUAAAAAGCAUAUUUGGUUCAUAAUACUAUAUUCUUAGCUAACAGUUGUUUGAACACUGUAUUCUUAACUAAAAAUAAGCAGUCAAUAUUUUAAUGGUGAAAAGAAUGAGCUGAUUUCAGUAACCCUCAAAAGUUCCCUGCCGCUCUGAAAGUUCUAUCUCUGUGAUUUGAGUGGGAGGCCAGAAAAUGAUGACUUUUAGUAAAGGUCUCUUCAAAGUUUCAGACUGCAUAACUAAUGUAAGGUCCCAAUUUUUCCUGUUUUUCAUUUUAGAUUUGGGGAUAUUCCCUGCCCAAAAAUUUCCUGGAAAAUUGACUAGUAUUAAGUGCGUAAUAGAUUGGAACUCAGUGAAGACACAGAUGUUCCUGUUGAGAGCAACCAGCUAAUGGUUAUGUUUAAAGACGAAUUCUGUGAUUGAGUUGUCAUUUGGAAGAUUAAACCCAUUUCAAGAGGACUUUGAGCUGGUCCUUACCAUUUGGAAGCAGUGGCUUAUUUCAAAAAGCCACUUCUGGUCAAGAUUGUUCCCAUCAUGCCUAACCAAGGAGAAGACUGCUAUUUUUUUUUCUAUUCAACAUGUACCAAAGGUGACAGCUGCCCUUUCCGUCACUGUGAAGCUGCAUUAGGAAAUGAAACUGUUUGCACAUUAUGGCAAGAAGGGCGCUGUUUUCGACAGGUGUGCAGGUUUCGCCACAUGGAGAUUGAU